CAACAUAGUGGUUCCUAAAGGUUUCAUUUAUAGGACAGACAUGUUGUGUGCCUCUAACAAACUCAAUUUUGGACAAGGAACCAGACUGACAGUACUAGAAAGGGGACACAUUAUCACACCCCCAACUGUGACCAUAUUUUCUCCAUCCAAAAGAGAAUUGGAAAAGAAGCGGAAAGUUACAAUUGUGUGUUUGGCUACUGAUUUCUAUCCAGAUCAUGUCAUUCUUACAUGGUCCCUAAAUAACAAGGAUAUAAUAGAGGGAAUAAAGACAGAGGAGCCCAAAUACGAAAAUAAGAAAUAUUCACUGAUCAGCCGUUUAAGAAUCACUGGGAACCAGUGGCAGAAUUCAGAAAACAACUUCAAGUGCAAAGUCGAUUUCUACAAUUCUUCCGAAAGCAUAAGUUACGAAGCUUCCAUAACUGGAGAAGAAUGUGAUAGCAAGACCUCCACAAAUGAAUCAUAUCUCAGACAAGCCAAUCUUGGAAAACUGGUGUAUAUUCUUCUCAUUUUCAAGAGUGCCUUGUAUGGGGCAUUUAUAAUGUAUUUGAAAAUAAGAAAAAAGUCCUGUGGCAAUUGAUACAACAGAAGCCUUUUACCUGGGAACAUCACAUCUGAGUUGAAUGAAUGCUGGACAGAGAAGAAGAAUGAUUCUUGCCUUUAAAGUCCCAAGUGGCAUUCUGAUUCUUUUUUUAAAAAAUAAAAAAAGGUUUGGUUGUUCCCACCCUUAUCUUAUUGUUCUUGUUACUAUCUCUGUAGGAACAUUCAUAGCAUUUCAUGUCUCUCUGUUGUUGUUGUUUUUUAAAUUUUAACCAUGUUUACAUGGAAGGAAAUAUGCCCAGAAUUGCAGCUUUACAUUGAACAUGAACCUGUCACCCCAGAACAUGGCCUCCAUUGAAUUCAACGAGACUCAUUUCCCUCCGGGAGAUGCCAUAGAAUUAUAGAGAUGUCACACAAUCUGAUGCAUGCAAA